UGUUGGUGGUGUGUGGUUGGUAGGGGAGAGCUCUCUGUCUGGUAGGAGUUGUUUUUUGGGUCGUAAGUCUUGUGGUGCUGGUGUUUUAAGGUGAUUUCUGGAGUGUACUGGAGUUGGAGAAAGCGUACAGAUGAAGACUACUACCCAAUUCCACCUUCCUUAAUGUUUGUCAUCACCGAAGAAAGUGGAACACGGAAAAGGGUGAAAAAAAGAAAUGCAACUUUAAUAGAUGCAUAAGAAAUAAAAUUGAAAUACUGCAAAAUACCAUUAGCACUGCUCUCUUGUGCGCUUCAAGAGGCCCACUAUAGAUGCUACUGUUGAAAGUUGGGGACUGUUUUCUGUAGUGCCAAGUAUCUGAAAUUUAGCUUCUGCUGUACCCUCCCGAGUGAGAGAUGCACCUUUAGUCCAGUCUCGGAGCCUCUGGGUCUGACCUACCAAAAUUAUUAGUGCCCAACUCACUGCCACCCAAAAGAUUGUUUCCUGAGGAUAACACAUGAAAAGUAUACUCUCUUCUUGAUGACAUUUUAAGAGCUAAGUUCCCCCUAUUUGGCUUCAUUUGAGCAUCAUAUUGUGGGCAGUAGAGAGAUGGAAAUUGUAUCUUAUUUUUCAUAAGAAAACUUUGUCAUAUUUACUUUUGUAGUUAUAAAUGAAGUUAUAUUUAAUAGGUAUUUAGGUACUGUAUGCACCUCCCUAGGCUAGGGAAGACAGUCUCUGUGGCAGAUUUGUAAUAUGUGAUAGGCUAGUUUUAAUAUUUUACAGUUUCACUAGUUCCUAAAGUUCAAUGAACAACAGACUUUUUAUGUAUCCUAAAAAUUGCUUGGUGUUAAAAAGUAGUUUAUAGCCAAAUACUUUCACUAACCACUUAUUGCCAAGUUUCAAGAUGAUAUGAAACAAAAUCAUCUGUUGAAAGCAUCACAUGGCUUGUGAUUAAUUACUCGGGCAUCUGCUGACAAUUUAUUUCAAGUACCAAUUUAAUUUUUUUGUCAGUGUUAAGUUAAACAUUAUAAUGGAGGAACAUUAAUAAAUACUUAAGACAAUUAAAAAAAUUGCAGCCUAAGUCUUGAAGGAUCAAUUAUAAUGCCAAGUAAAGGAAUUGCCAAACUCUACACAUGACAACUUGCCAUUUAGUCAGAACCAAUCUGAAAAGGUUGUCAAGUAAUAACAAAAUAGCAGUACAGUAGUUUUUGGUUAUAUUGGCCCCCAUGUUCAAGUUUGGUCAAAUUGCGAGAUGAUUCCCAGCCUUGACUCCCAAGGGAACCAUAUGAUCUUAGAUACAGGAAUAUUCAACCUACAAACUAUUAAGGACACUGUUCAGCAUAAAAUUUACA